UGACUGCAGGCACCAAGGGAACGUUCACAUCUGCCUAUGAGCGUGCAACCAAGAGCCUGUGAAACUACUGCCGUCAUUCCACGCCGGAGAGGUGGGGCUGUCUUCUGUAAGGCAGCUUUGAAGCUUUGCAGUGAAUCUGUCAGAACAAAGGAUGCAGAUCUACAAGGGAAAAAGGCAUUCAGUAGAAAGCUGCCCGAGCCACGUGCAGGCCUGAAGACAUUUCCUCCAAGGGAAACCGUGGAAGCUUUUAUUGUUCAUUAAAGUUGCAACUAAAAUCGGACUGGAUAAAGCUUAAGGAAAUACCUCUCAGAGGACAACCCUGCUUUGGCUGCUGGAAACAAAUGAGGAUGGCAUCCUAGCAAAACAAAAAUAUUGUCUUCAUGACUGAUCUCGGCUUAAAAGAUCAAGCAGAGACUUGUACAUCUAUGUGCAGACAAAAUCAUUAAGUCCUCAGCUGUGCAACUGAUUCCACUUGAGAAGGUCUGAGAGAGCACGCAGCCACCCCGGAGAGAUGUAAAGUGGCAGGAACCGUUCUACUGGGAACGAAAAGCAGGACUGCUGUGCAGAGCCCUGCUGACCCUGUUAAAAGAAAAGGACUCUUGAGGACUCGGGAUCCUGUUGGUCUGUGGAAAUUUUCCCCUUGCUAAUUCCCUCCCACCACUUCAGGCCUGCUCUGUAAGGAGUUCACGAACCUUCUCCGGAUCAUCAGGGCUUGAUGCAAUCAACUGUGAAGCAUUAGCUCUAAAUAUACAACUGGGAGGCCGGUUCUGCUUCAACACACAAACACUCCUCGCAAAGGAUGAUAAAGCAGUGAUUUUCUGGCAACUCAACGUGCAUUCCUGGUGCAAAUCCUCAGCGUGUGGACAGAUAAUUGAAAAACAGUUGCAGCGGGCCAAGAGACCCAGAAUUCAACUUGUACAAGGAAAAUAAACAGUAACCAAGUAAUUCUCAGAAGUAUUCAGAGCAAGAGGGAAUGUGCUGGUGUCACGUUUUUUUGUCAACAGCUGUAAAGUCGAUGUGCAUCCAACUACUUUUUGGUGGUGAUGCCAGAUAUUGCUUACUCAAAUAAGAACACCAAGCCCUUCCUAAGAAUUUUUUUGAAGAUGUUAUUAAGCGUCUGAUUUUUGGCAUGGCUCUCAAAGCUGUUUGUCCCGAUUUUUUUACUGCCUGUUGAAAAGAAAGCAAUACUGCAAAUAACUUCCCAUCAGAAAAUACCAACAAGCAACUUAUCGUAACUGCCGUAGAGCUAACAACAUUUCUACCGAGUGAUUUUUUGGCACUGACAGCUGACUCGGAACAGUUGCUGGUGGCUGGGACAGAUGGACUUCAUAUAUAUGUUAAAAAAAGAAAAAGGAAAUCAGAACUUCUACUCUGUAGAUUUUUGAAAAGCCUUUUGCAAAAUCCAACAUAUUACCAAAACCUCAGAAUUAAAUCAAAGGGAGGCUUGAAUACGUUGAGCUUUAAAACUGAAAUGGACUUGCCAUAUCUCCCCAUCAAGGACUAGAAGGUAUCAACGUGUUUUAUUUUCAACAGGAAAUACUUGUGAGUUUUGGGAAGGUCUCCACGGUUCUGGAGAGCUGGAUUUUUUUUCAUGUGAAAUCCUCAAAAUCCAAAUGUCUGUUUCCACGGGCAAGUUUGCAACAGAGACCUCAAGGGAGCAUCUGAAUCCAGAGCUAGCACCUGGAAGACUAUGCGAUGCUCCAGGAUUAGCCACUCCCAAUUUCUCCUCCUGAAACUGUUUCUGCUACAAACCACAGUAAAGCAAGCGAACAACAGACCCUGGAGCGCAUGACAACCAUCUCCUCAUCACAGAGGUGUCAGAGUCAUCUUCUCACCCUCCACUUACUUUUUUUGGUAAAUAGUGCCCAAAUCUCACUUUAUUUGAGGCUCAAACCGCUCUGCAAGUUAGCUGGAGUCAUUGGAGAAUUGUUUUGUCCUUAGAUAAACUGCUUGAAAUAUUUCAAUACACUUCUUGA